rnacentral:sRNA from 10 species
CGACACUAGUCAGCGAGGCUUCGCCCACUAGUGCG